rnacentral:misc_RNA from 7 species
CGUUAUGGCAGCUGUACGCGGGCACGCUUCGGCGUGGCCGGAUCUUGUGACCGUUUCCUACCCCGCGUGCCGCUGUUCGAUCUU